CUGUCUAGCCAAGCUUGCUUGUGUCACUACCCUCAGGGGUACACAUUAGGUGCCAGCUGCAGAGUGGGGGAAGUUUGGCAGUUGGGAUACUGGGGGGUACCCACAGGUCAGAGGUCAGUUGGGAGGAUCCUCAGGAGAAGCUUUCCCAGCAGCAUUUGGGCAUGCCUUCUGCUGGAAUCUGGAAUGCAAUCAGCAGGUUCUGUGUCCCUUUAGUACCCUUCGAUAUCCUUCUCUGUCUCUUUCCCAAUCGCAUCCUUCCCCUGAGUCAUAGAACUCUUGCUUGAAUACAACAGGAGCUUCAGGAGAGAGGCUUUCUUUAGCAGCAUCUCAUACAGCUGGAGAAGUUAAGUACUCACUGAUCUCUGUUUUCCACCUUGGGGGAGAGUUGAUGCUCACAAAGUUCCUCUCACCCAGUCCAAUGCAUUCAAACUUAUUAACUUUUUUUUUUUUUGUCCUAUGGAAUGCUGAAACUUCUCUAGAAACAGGAAGUUCUAUGAAAAUUCUCUUGUCCAUGGGUAAAUGCCCAAGUCAGUGUUUUUCAGAUACCAUAGCCAGAAGGGUUUGGAAGUGGUUCAUAAGCUCCAGCCAGUUCCACAGUCAUACUGGGGUCUGCCUACCUAUACCUGAUGGACAGUGUCAAAGGGAAAAGAUUACGUGAUGAUGUGAAUACCAGAAUUCCAGGAGGCUGGCAUGACUCCAGACCAUCUUAGAGGCUCAGCUCUUUACCCCUCUUCAACUUCUUUGCCUUGCUUGGCGUGGAAAUUUGUGGAAGUUAUGACUUCGAGAAGCAUUGGGCCCUGACAACCCCCUCUUCUGAAACUUCCCAUAAGUUUUGGUAAGUUUCACAUACCAAAAGCUGGGCCGGUGGCAGCGGAGAGAGAAAACAGGUUAAAAGAUUUAAGUUAGAUACUACUUGUCCUGUUUAGUUUACAUAAAAGCAACAUUUUUCACCAAUGACUGCAUGAGCUUGUUGACCAGUCAGUUUUUAAAGCAUGACCAUUUUGGAGAACAGCAGAGGCCAAGCUGUUAACUUAUAACUAAAGUACUGUGAAAGUUUGCACAGUGGUAUUGAACUCUUGUUUCAUUACAUGAAGAGAUUUAAGAUUACCUUUUCCAUUCAUACUUUCCAAGGCUUGGGAAUAAGUGACUCACCACUGAAAGGAACUGGAGUUAUGAUACACAAGUGGAUUUUUUCCAAUUUCUCGAUUGGCACGUUUAUGCAGCAUAACUUUAUGAACAAAGGAACCCAGGUUUGCAAUUUGGCUGGCAUUUAGGGAGUUUACAGACAAGGUUAAAGUGGAACCUGUCAUCAGCAAGGGAAAGAAACAACCAUUUGAAUGGAAAAAUAUGUUUGUAAGCAACGCCUCCGAUAAGGGCCUUACGUCCAAAACAUACAAAGAACUCAUACAACUCAAUAACAAUAAAAAAGCAAAUGUUCCAAUCAAAAAAUGUGCAGAA